GGGGGCUCACUCAUAUUGACUUGCGCGGAACCAAGUUUUUGGUCUGAGGGUUACGCCACCUUCCUUCGCACACGCCAAACAGACAUCAAUAUGACGAGUACAGGACAGUUUUCAGUUACGAGUGACAAGGCGUCCACCAUAGAGAAAGUAAAAUAAUUUUACUUAUUUUACUUACUCUAUGGCGUCCACAAAUUGUGUAAAAAAGGCGUCUAAUCGAUGUAAUCGGUAGCAUUGAUGUAAACAACUUUAGUGCCGGCAUUGUUUCUUGCUUUCUACAAGUGUUUUAUGAAAUUUAUUAAAAAAUGAGUUCAAUUCUUCAACGUUGCUGUGUACCUCA